AAGUCGUAACAAGGUCUCCGUAGGUGAACCUGCGGAGGGAUCAUUACAGAGUUCAUGCCCUCCUGGGUAGAUCUCCCACCCUUGCGUAUUUAUACCUUUGUUGCUUUGGCAGGCCGCCUGGGCUCGCGCCUGGCCACCGGCUCCCGGGCUGGUGCGUGCCUGCCAGAGGAUCUCCAAACUCUAGUUAUCAGUGUUGUCUGAGUACUAUACAAUAGUUAAAACUUUCAACAACGGAUCUCUUGGUUCUG
rnacentral:misc_RNA from 1 species